rnacentral:rRNA from 1 species
GUGAGGAAUAUUGGUCAAUGGGCGGGAGCCUGAACCAGCCAAGUCGCGUGAAGGAAGAAGGAUCUAUGGUUCGUAAACUUCUUUUGCAGGGGAAUAAAGUGCAGGACGUGUCCUGUUUUGUAUGUACCCUGAGAAUAAGGAUCGGCUAACUCCGUGCCAGCAGCCGCGGUAAUACGGAGGAUCCGAGCGUUAUCCGGAUUUAUUGGGUUUAAAGGGUGCGUAGGUGGUUUGAUAAGUCAGCGGUGAAAGUUUGCAGCUUAACUGUAAAAAUGCCGUUGGAACUGUCGGACUUGAGUGUAAAUGAGGUAGGCGGAAUGCGUGGUGUAGCGGUGAAAUGCAUAGAUAUCACGCAGAACUCCGAUUGCGAAGGCAGCUUACUAAGCUACAACUGACACUGAAGCACGAAAGCGUGGGGAUCAAACAGGAUUAGAUACCCCGGUAGUCC